UAUGACCAUAUCACAUUGAAACACCGGUUCUCGUAUACGAUCACCGGAAUUAAGCAACGUCGAUCCUGGUCAGUACUUAGGUGGGUGACCCGCUAGGGAAU